AAAGUACUCCCUCCGUCCCAAAAUUCUUGUCUUAGAUUUGCCUAAAUACGGAUGUAUCAAGUCACAUUUUAGUAUUUUGUCUAGAUACGGAUGUAUCAAGUCACAUUUUACUAUUAGAUACAUCUGUAUCUAGAAAAAUCUAAGACAAGAAAUUUGGAACAGAGGGAGUAGUUG
rfam:Triticum aestivum genome assembly, contig: Triticum_aestivum_CS42_TGACv1_scaffold_641884_T_1DL-0.134938_4BL-0.089115